AGUGGCUUCUUUAGUAGGAAAGAAGGUGAAAACACUUAACAUAGCUUUCCCCCCACACUGAACACAUGCCAAUAGUUUCUCUGCAGUAUGAGUUCUCUCAAGUUCAAUAAGCUGAGAGGUCUCCAUGAAGGCUUUACUACAGUGAGUGGUUUUAUUUCAUUUGUUUGUUUGUUUUUGUUUUUUGAGACGCAGUUUCUUUGUGUAUCCCUGGCUGUCCUGGAACUCACUCUGUAGACCAGGCUGGCCUUGAUAUUACAGAUAUCCAACUGCUCCUGCCUCUCCAGUGCUGGGAUUAAAGACAUGCACCACCACGGCCUAGCCAUGCGCUCAGAAGCCAGAUGAAGACGUGUGAUCUCCAGGGUCGGGAGAUCUUACGGUUGUCAGCUGCCAUGUGGAUGCUGGGCUUUGAACCCAGGUCUUCUGUAAAAGCAGACAGUGUUCUUAAUCACUGAGCCAUCUCUCCAGCCCCAAAGGACUUUCUACAGGCUUCAGACCUGUCCAGACUUUGUGAUGGUCACUGAAAACCAAAAUCUGGAGUUUUUAAACUUGACCCAGGUUCAAUCCCCAGCACCCACAAGGCAGCUCACAGAGCAAGUACAGAGCCUGAUGGAAUGGCAAAGGAAGUACCAGUCUUUUGAGGGGUAAGACCCUCUUCUCUUCUUUCUGACUCCAUCGCCACUCAAGAUGUGACCAUUAAUCCUGGAUAUUUUGGGGCAUGUAAUCGUUUCCCUGGAGAAACAGCUACAGUCACACAGUGAGCAGGCUUGUGAUUGUAUAAAGCCAUCUUGAGCUAUUCGGGGCCACUUGCUUGAAAGUCAACUGGUGGUCACUGCCUUCACUUUGCACCAUCUUCCUUGCACUUCCCUGUCUCAGGACCUGAACCUUGCAGCUGGAGCUGGUCUUCUGCCUUGUUGAGGGUUUCCCUGUGUACACAGAACACCCUCUGUUGACUAGGCUGGAUUCACCUACCUCUGCCUCCUGAGUGCUGGAAUUAAAGAUGUUUUUCCUGCACAUGUGUCUGUGUACCAUCUGUUUUCAGUACCCAGGUACAGAACUGGGUAUGGAGUGGCUUGAUUCCUGGUGAUCUCAAACUCCGAGAUCAUUCAGAAGAGGGCAUUGGGUCCCUUGGAGCUGGCGAUACAUAUGGUUGUGAGCUGCCAUGUCAGUGCUGGGAGCUGAACCUAGGUCAUCUGCAAAAGCAGUCAGGGAUUUUUAAGCAUUGAGGCACCUCUCCAGCCUCUUCUUUUAUUUAUUUUCUAAAAAAAAGAGUACAAACUCAGUCCUCUAUUACCACAAAUUAUGCAACUGAGUUUCCUGCAUCUGGAGAAAUUGCAGGGAUUAGCAUAUCCUGAAUAUAAUGAAUGAGCUCCAUCCUGGGAAAACUACAUUUCUGAUCACUGUAUCAAGCUCUUGGUGCCCAGAGCUAACCCUAUGCCACAGUGCUCCAUACCCAAAUACUGCGGGGAGAGAGCUGGUCUUCCAGGAGUGCUGAUGUGCCUGUGAGCACAGGUAAGAGCACCUCGUCAGCUUAGAGGAACCCGCCCAGAACCUUCAGGACACAGGAACCAAGGAACAGCAGGGGACAGGAUCCUUCCAGAUACUGUCUGUACGCUGGAGCUGACCCUGUGCCACAGCUCUCCACAUCCAAAUUCCUCCCAGAGAGAACUGGUCUCCCAGGAGUACUGACACAAAUGCUUGCAGGAGGGAAACUCCAGUCAGAGACAGCAAGACCAGCUAACACUGGAUUUAACCAGAUGGUGAGAACAUAAGCAAUAGAAACCAAGGCUACUUGGCAUCAUCAGAACUCAGCUCUCCCACCACAGCAAGCCCUGAAUACCCCAACACACCAGAAAAGCAAGAAUCUGAUUUAAAACCAUAUCUCAUGAUGAUGAUAGAGGACUUUAAGAAGGACAUAAAUAAUUCACUUAAAGACAUACAGGACAACACAGGUAAACAGCUAAAAGCUCUUAAAGAGGAAACACAAAAAUCCCUUAAAGAAUUACAGGAAAAUACAACAAAACAGGUGAAGGAAAUGAACAAAACCAUCCAGGAUAUAAAAAUGGAAAUAGAAACUAUAAAGAAAUCACAAUGGGAGACAACCCUGGAGAUAGAAAACUUAAAAAGAGAUCAAGAGUCAUAGAUGCAAGCAUCACCAACAGAAUACAAGAAAU
rnacentral:lncRNA from 1 species